rnacentral:rRNA from 1 species
AUUGAACGCUGGCGGCAGGCCUAACACAUGCAAGUCGAACGAGUGGCGGACGGGUGAGUAAUGCCUGGGAAACUGGCUGAUGGAGGGGGAUAACUACGGGAAACGGUAGCUAAUACCGCAUACCAUCGGAUGUGCCCAGAUGGGAUUAGCUAGUUGGUGGGGUAAAGGCUCACCAAGGCGACGAUCCCUAGCUGGUCUGAGAGGAUGACCAGCCACACUGGAACUGAGACACGGUCCAGACUCCUACGGGAGGCAGCAGUGGGGAAUAUUGCGCAAUGGGGGCAAUCCUGAUGCAGCCAUGCCGCGUGUAUGAAGAAGGCCUUCGGGUUGUAAAGUACUUUCGGCGGGGAGGCGUUACCCACAGAAGAAGCACCGGCUAACUCCGUGCCAGCAGCCGCGGUAAUUC